UUUCUCUCUCUCUCUGUCCACAGGAUAUUCCUUUGUAAUCCCGCUACCCUCAACGCUCCCAAUCCAUGGAUCAAGAAAUGCUGAACCAGUGGAUAUUCCUUUGUAAUCCCGCUACCCUCAACGCUCCCAAUCCAUGGAUCAAGAAAUGCUGAACCAGUGGAUAUUCCUUUGUAAUCCCGCUACCCUCAACGCUCCCAAUCCAUGGAUCAAGAAAUGCUGAACCAGUGGAUAUUCCUUUGUAAUCCCGCUACCCUCAACGCUCCCAAUCCAUGGAUCAAGAAAUGCUGAACCAGUGGAUAUUCCUUUGUAAUCCCGCUACCCUCAACGCUCCCAAUCCAUGGAUCAAGAAAUGCUGAACCAGUGGUGUGUGUAAAUCUUUCUUGUGGUUCACAUUAUAUCUGUGUUGUGUGAUGCGGGUCAUCAAUGUGUUGGAAGUUUCCCCGACAUACUGCAGUCCACACUUCUUGCACAAUAUGAGAUAGACACAGUUGGUUGAUUUGGGACUAAAUCCUUGUUCAAUUUUAAUGAUUGUUUUAUCCACUGCA